ensembl:snoRNA
AGCACUGUGUGUCUUUAAUUUGUAACAAAGUCCUAACAGACAGGUGCAAAUAGUAAAUCCUCUUUUGAACCUAGAACUCAUAGAUGAGUAUGAGGUUUUGAUACAUGUAAGAAGGCAUAUG